UGGAAACCUUUCCGCGAUCCCAUCAGUGCUGAAGGAUCACAACAGCAACAAAUUAGACCAACAGGCUCGGGAAAAUGUGCCCGAUUUAGAAACGGAUGUUACAGUUUAUUAACCAGCUAAAUUAAUUCGAUUUUGAACCACUGUUAAAUAUACAUUAGGAUGUAUCGCCCAGGAGCCCAGCGGGCGGGGGGAGGGCGGGGGGAGGCUGUCCUGACCUCCCUCGGGGCCUGUGCGAGGGGUCCACGCUGGGGUUCCGGGCAGUGCCGGAGCUGGAGAGGGAGGGAGGCCCAGGGAAAGCCCGGGCACCGCAGGCUCCACCCCAGGGCGGGAGCCAGGAGCUCCGUAUCUCGUAUCUGAAAGUCUCAGACAUUCCUCCUUCAAGUACAGCUGGAUCCAGGAGCUCAAGGUCAACAGGAACCGGCUUUUGGUUUUUCAUGUUCUUCUACUGUCUGCAGGGCCAGGCCUGCUGUGAGAGCAACCCGGGACCCUCUGGCAGCCAGGACAGGCCUGGCCGUGGCCCUGCCCUCCGUCACUGCACAGAGAGCUCCCGCCGUGGGCUGAAUGCAGCUCUGAGGCCACACUGUCCCGCUGGGUCCCGUUGGUGGCCAAGGAGCAGGAAAUGUGGUGCUCACCGCUCUGGAGGCUGAGGCCCAAGGUGGAGGCCCCAGAGGUCCCACUCUGGUGAGGGCUGCUGCUCCCCAGAUGUCCUCACGGGGUGGAAACUGGCCAGGGAGUUCUCUGGGGUCCCUGCUUGAAGUUAACACCCCCCGUGGGGGCCCACGUCAUGACCUUGUCCCCUCCCACAGGCUCUGCCUCCCGACACCAUCACAUGCAGGGUCAGGACCUCAACCUAUGAAUGUGGGGGAGACACAAACACUUAAUCUGUAACCCACGCAUUGGAAGACAUAGCCGGCCUCCCCUACGGGGCCUUUGCACCUGCUGAGCUGGUGGCCCAGAAUGCUUUGCUUCCCCCACCAGCAGCAGCGCAUCCCCAGGGACCCUGGAACUCCCGCUGGGCCUGCCCUGCCUUCCGGCUGGUACCUUCCCUACUGCGCAUGCCCAGUGCUCAAAAUGGAAGCCCAUUUACAUCAUGGAAAGGGCAGGAAGCGAGGGACUUCUGGCCCCGGCCACUGCGUGGAUGAGCCUUGAGGGUGUUAUGCCAAGGGCAAGAAGCUGGCAGCCAGGGGUGCCCAUGAGGAGACCCAGCUUAGAGGAGAGGAGGGCUAGGGCGCCAUGGCCAGGAUAGGGGAGUGGCAGUUACUGCUCCACAGGGCCAGGGACAGGGCCACUGUUCAGGGUGACAGGAGCCCCAGGAACCGGCUCGUGGCGAGUGUCACUAACACCAGACCUUGGACCUCACAGUGGCUAAUGCAGUGGUUUUUAUGCAAUAGAUAAUUUACCACAAUAAAAAUGAAGAAAAGCUGUGUCUGUAACACCCCCCCCCCCAGCCGGCCUGGCUCCCGAUGAAGAUGAGGUGGAGCAGAAAAGGAAGAAAGGACAGAAGGAAUCCGAGGAAGGACAAAGGGACCAGGACGGAGCCCAGACCUGAGCACCCAUCCCGGCCCCUGGCCCUUCCCUCCUGACGGUCACUCCCAACUUCCUGAGAAAUCUGUAAAUCCUCGUGCUAUGAGACCUCGCUGGUCUAUGAAAAUCACCCGGUUCGCCUGCUUACGAGAGCUGGUCGGCUCCGGGAUGGACUUUCAGAUUAGAUAACGCAGCAAUAUAUUUUAAGAAACCUAUGAUCCGGGCGCGUACCUGUUGAUCAGAUCAAGGAGACAAGUGACAUCCUGAAGAUCUCAGAGGCCAGGCCUCCACCAGCACCACGAGUGCCCGGCUGAUGCUGUUCCCACAUCCUUCCCGUGGCCGCCCCACACCAGGUUUCCUUUAGAGGAAGAGCCUGAGAUCCCAGAAGCCCUCUGCAGGACGGACGCAGCCGCCACCUUUCACUUUCUAACCAGCCCUUCCUUCCUCUUGCUGAGCCCUGACUUAAGUAGGGGCCUCAGGGAAGCCUUUCAGAGACAGGACCCUCCCCGGUGCAGUUCAGGGCCCAGAGACCCUCCAGAUGGCUCUGUCCCUGCUCCCAGCCAGCCUGUCCUGUGAGAACCGUGUCCCGGGCUCUGCUCCAGGUACUGUCUGUGCCGGGGAGGAGGGGACCGGCUGAGGGGAGAGCCGGCAGGAACCGUGGGUGGCCCUGUGGGUCGGCGAGAUAGGCCAUGCUGUCGGAGGCAAGGGGCCGUGGACAGACUGGGACCCAGCUCUGUCCUGCCAGGAGUCCUGCCGCAGCCGUGGAAGGGCUGGCUGGGGGCCAGGGCCGGAGCCGCAGGCCCAGGAAGCCCUGCCCCCGGAUCUGCCCGGGCCAGCUCGGCCCAGUGAACCCGGCCGUGAGCGCCACUCCCACAGGGUGACAGGAUGCCCCCUGGCCGGUGUCCGGCUGGCCCCGGCUCGGGAGCCACCAGGCCCACAUGCUUGGCGCACAGCGGAGACAUUGACUGAGCACUUGCACGCCGCAUGGCGAUGACCCCUGGACCCCAGGGCCCCGGGGCACAAAUCACCAGCUCUGUUUGGCUCAUGGUGGGCAGCAGGCUGGUGGCACUGGGCUGUCCUGGCCACACAUCUGCUGGGCUCUGCUGGCUGCCCCUGGACACGCCCCUGCAGCCGAAGGUCAGCCAGUCCAGCCUCAGCCCUGCCGGUCCAGCCUCGGCCCCUCCACACGCCUCCUGCUCCCUCCAGGCCCCGAGGCUGUUCCAGAGCACAGAGGAGCUAACUCCGGGGUCCCGAGAGCCCCUCGCCCCCUGCACGCUCCCUCACGUCCGCCUCGCGCUCCUGGAAGCCGGGGGUUGGGGGGCAGCGGGUUCCAUGAUGGGGCGGCUGCUCAGGGGGCCUGGUCUCUGUGACCCACCAGGGCCACCUGCAGCAGGUGGGGGCCUCUCCCGGCCCUGUGGGACCCCUGCCCCAGGUCACAGAACCAGACAGGCCACUGCCCACCCCUGGGUCCCAUGGUCAGGGAGGGGACGGGAGGCUGUACCCGUGACCCAGUGUGGGGGGCUGGCGACUGUGAGGGGCCACCAAGGGGCUGGUGCUGGGUGAGUGACAGGGCCACAGGUGGGAGAUGAGGACAGACGGGGAGGGGGCGGGCUACAGGGGGCUUGUCACUUCACACUCUGGCUUUUUCUGGGGUGGGAGCCGCGGGGACCCUCGGGUGGAGCCUCCCUGCCGCAGGCCUGGGGCUCUGACAUGAUCCCCCUGUCUGAUGGUGACCAAGGGACUUAAGGGGCCACGUGGCCGCCAGGAGCCCGGGGGCUGGACCGCUGCACCGUCCAGGUGUGCCACCAUGGCCAGAGCCUGGUGAGGCUGGGGGUGUCUGGAAGCUGAGGCAGGGGCCACCAGGGGGCUGGACACACACACAGGACAAAGAGCAGCAGGGACUCCGGGGGCUCUGGGGCCACCACAGCAGGUGGCCCUGUGCUGGGGGACAGAGGAGCAGUCCAGUCCACCGUCCACACGGGGCAGGUCCAAUGGGCCGGGAGCCGUCUGUCCCCAGCAGCCCGCUGUCUGCAGGAGCCCUCGAGGCCCUGCCCGGUGCCCGCCUGGUCCUGGGGACACAGUGAGCCAGCCAGACCCUCCCGCGGGAGCGGAUGGCAGGCAGCCCAGUGCCAUAGAUCACCAGGACGACCCCAGGGCCUCCAGGGCAUCUCCUGGAACGAGGCUCAGCCACAGAGGUCCCUGCAGAGCAGCUCCCUGGACCCGUCCUUGGUCAUCACCGUGUCACGAGCCCGGAGGGGGGCUCAGCCCGCGCUCCACGCCACCCUUGCCGCACUCGGGGCGGUGCACACGUGUGAGCGUGAGUGUGUUCACACGCGUGUGUGGCUCAGGUUGGACCAUAAACCAGGCCUGGGGAGGAGGAUGGGGGUGUCCUGAGCACAUGGGAGACGCCUCUGCUUAGCUGCUUGAAGCUGUGGGUUCUUGAGCAAGACUCCUAACCUCUCUGAGCCUCAGCUUUCUCCUCUGAAAAUGCAGGUGUCACUGUGCCCAUCUUGUCACACAGCGGGUGGGGGUAGUGACUGGGUUCUCUAGGUGAUGAAGCUUCAGCGCGGGUCAUGUACAUCUUACCUCUGAGUCCUGAGUCCACACGCCUCGGGCACGUUACCCCCGAGCAGCGUCUCUGGCCCCUCCAAACUUUUUCCUUUUUCUUUUCUUUUUUUGAGACAAGGCCUCCCUAAAUUUUUCGGAGCCUUGCCAAGUUGCUGAGGUUGGCCUAGAGCUUGCGAUCCUCCUCCCUCAGCCUCCUGAGUCCCCGGGAUUGCAGGCGUGGCCACCACACUGGCAUAUGACUCAUUUCAAGAUCCUGUGAGCAACUGGCUGCCGCCCAGUGGUGGCCAUUCUGUUUACCAAGAGCACUGAGGUCUGCGUGACCCACAAAGGAAAAGGGAGAAACCGCGGUUGUUUGUUUAGCUGGGAUUUGGGGUCAUUCGUUACUGUGGCAAAACCUAACCUCUCCUGACUGGUGUACCAUGGACUCGAGAACACGUGAUGUCCAGGUGCACCGUGGGGGCCACAGUCAGCCUUACUCUUACUUAAACAACCUCCCAGAGCAAAUGAGCAGGUCAGGACACUGAGUGGGGUGGACGGACUCUGAGGAGGCCCCACAGUCCCCCUCCUGGAAUCUGCAGACCUGCUCCUCCCUCCUGCUGAGCGUGAGCCAGGCCGUGGCAUUGUCACUCAUGCCGUGAGCGACUCUGUGUCUGUCCCAUGGGAAGAGUCCUCUGCUGGCCUUGGAGAAGUGAGGAGCCGUGCUGGGAGGCCCGGGGCACAGACGGACUGCAGGGCCACCGCAGCCGCUUCUCCCACCUGGCUCUGGGCUGACGUCCAAGGGCAGGGUGUGGCAGGGCUGCGGCCUCUGACUUCUCCCUGCCUGGCUGGGUUCCAGCUUGCCCAAUGUCCUCACGUGGACACCAAUCAGGCUGCGUCAGGGCCACCCCGGGGGCCCCUGGUAGCUUAGUCACCCCUUCAAAGACCCUGUCUCCAUGCGGUCGCAUUCUGAGGUCCUGGGGUCUGGGCCUCAGCUCGGGAACCCUGGGGAGAGCGGCCAGCCGGCUCCAUGGCCAGGCCCGGGUCCUGCCCACGGCCAGGUGAGCGGGAAGCAGACCCCCCAGGAGCCCCGGGAGCCCCCGGCCCCCAACACUGAGCAGAGAACGCCCUGGGCCAGGCAGACGCGUGUCCAGGGAGGACCCGCAGGCUGUGAUGCCCCUUGGCCUCUGCUCCUGGGGUCCGGGACCCUUAGGGGUGAGGACCUGGUGCCAGGGUGCUGCCCCAGGAGCUGCCCCGAGCCUGCUGCCUAUCCGUGGGGCUUCGGUCAGCUGCUGGGCAGCUGCCAUCUUCUUUGCAGCCUGAGUGGUAGCAGCUCCUGUCCCCCUGCAGCUGGGGCGUGGAGGCCAGAGAGCUGAGGUAACCAUUGCAGUGGACUCGGCCACCUUCACGGUCAGCGUCACUAACCCAGGAUGCCCUGCAGCGGAGUCACCAAAGCAUAGGGACGGGAGGAGCCCACGGAGAGCUGCCAUGUCCCUCGGGGCGGGAGGAGUGGCCACGCUGCCCUCCGAGGCACGAUGCUCCCACGCUUGCCAUGAUGCUGACCAGGAUGUGGAUAUGUCCCCAUGUUCCCCAGGGGACCACGGAGGCUCCUACAUCCCAGGGCUUUCCCAAGGUGCCCCCGCUGCUGUGCCAGGCUGGGUAGAGCAGGCUGGGAACACCAAGGCUUGCCCCGCGGUGGCCCCGUGUGACCCCCGCGGCCAGGCAGGACAGAGAACGGGGCCCCGGCGUGUCUCAAGGGACUGGCUAAGCUGAGAAGUUUCUGGAACACGGUGGGAUGCCCGGGAGGGCUGAGGUGAUGUUUUUCAGCUGAAAAUGUCCCUUGGGUAAAAUUCCAGCCCUCUCCCUCCGUCUGCAGCAGGGACCUGGCUCCCUGAGACCCCAGCACAGGGAAGGGCGCUGCCCGGCUCCGUCCUGGAGUGGCCCCCAGCCUCCCCGGGGAACUGGGGCCAACGGCAGUGCAUGGGUACUGCCCCGUACGUGCUGGGCCACAGCACACCCUGCCCAGCCUGGCCGGGGGCUUUCCUGGGACCCGGGGGGCAGGCGGGAAGGAGGAGCCCGGGUGGCAGAUGUGGGAACGAGGCUCAGUGACAUGGGACGCUGGGCAAGAAGAAGAGUGGGAAGCAAGACCCCUGGAGGGGCGCCAGGGCACCGCAUGCCAGCCGGGCAUCGCGGCCACGCAGCCCCUCCUCCCCCCUGGGCCCGGCUGACGCAGGUGCAGAGGAAACGCUGUCGGAGUUGGAGGCAGAAGGCGGCUCGUGUCCCCACAUCUGCCGCUUGCUCAGCGAUCCUGUGAGCCGCUGAAAAUCCCUGAGACCGGCAUAACCGGGCUGUGGCCCACAGUGACAAAGAGAAACGAGAAAACUGACAAUGAGAGGGACCUUUCUUGCCGGCCAGCGAAAGUCAGGCCUGUGCAAGCGGAAAGGGAGAGUCCUGGCCCCAGGAAGCAGAAUUCCAGGAAUAGAGUCAGCUUCAGGCACAGCCAGAUCCAGGGACUUGAGUCAUGUCACCAGACCUUAGUCACACUCCCUCCUUGGCCUGUCCACUCCUCCAUUCACAUUCUCCCCGAGGUGGCAUGCUGGCUGCCAGGAGUCCUACGAUCGUCCCUGUGAUCCGAGACAGAGAAGGAGCUGCCCCUUCCACGUCCCUGGCAAAGGCCGCAGCGCAGGCUGGAUCGGCUCUCCUAAGCCCACAGCGGAUCGGAAGGCCAGCUGCGCCCACCCCUCCCAGCCUGGAGUCGGGCACUGUCUGCGGAGUGCGAGCAGAGGCCAAUCCCCAGUGAGGACUAGGCUGGUGCCCACGAGAGGCAACAAGAGUCAGCUCCACCGGUGCCCGUCCUUCCGCCCAGAUCCUCCCCUCCCCCCCUCUGUCCCCAGGCCGCCCCUGGGUGGUAAGCUGCCCUGCCUUCUGGCCUUGGCAGUGGGCCCUGUGGAGACCAAGGACGGGAGGCCAGGAGCUGCCCUGGCCCUAGAGCGGGCGCUGGCUUCUCAGGGUGCCCCUGCCCUGCCCCUACAGGGGUCUACCAGGCUGGACGGCCCUCCUGGUCUUGGCGCAGGUGGGAGGCUGGGGCCACUGCAUGGUGCGCGACCCUGUGGGCCCCUCCAGGCCCUGAACUGCGCACUUAAAGAGCACCCACAGCGAGCCGGGCACCGUGGCCCACGCCUGUAACCCCAGGGGCUCGGGAGGCUGAGGCAGGAGGAUCAGGAGUUCAAAGCCAGCCUCAGCAAUGGUGAGGCCCUAAGCAACUCGGUGAGACCCUGUCUCUAAAUAAAAUACAGAAUAGGGCUGGGGACGUGGCUCAGUGGCCCAGUGUCCUUGAGCUCGAUCCCUGGAACCCUCCCUCCAAAAAAAAAAAAAAAAAAACAACAACCAAAAACCCAGCUACGGCUGUGAAUCUCCUGCUGUCAGGCCUGGGGCCAACCAGGGUGUCUCAGGGUUUAAAUAAAUCUCAAAGGCACCGUGUCCCAGCAAGGUCUGGGUCUGGUCCCCCUGGCCCGGAUCAAUGUGUACUCAGGGGUACUCAGGAUGGAGCAGGGACGUCCCCAGGCCUCGAGCGCUGACGCUGCAGCUGGUGACCGGCCUGGGGGCAGGGAGGGCGGGGAGCCGGGCACAGGGAAGCGAGGCAGAGUGGAGGACGCCCACUCCCCCUUCCGGCUCAGGAACUGAGUCAUUGGGCAGCUGCCGGCCUCCUGCACCGGGGACGCCGGGUGAGGCCAGUGCCACGCUCUGCACAUGGAGGACCGGAGCUCGCGGGAGGAGGGGCUGCGUCCCCGUCCCAGGAGCUGCACUGGGCCCCUGUCUGGGCAGAGGAUCCGCAGGCCGCAUUAAAAACUAAAGAAAAACACAGGUGAGGCUGAUUCUCGAUUCUCAUUGGCCCCAGUUGACCCAAAAUGUCAUCACUGUAAUCCACAUUAAAAGUGGUCCCUGAGAUACUCAUGGCCUUUUCACCUUGGGACUUCUGGAGUCCACUGGCAGCCCUCUCCAUGGCCACGACAUCUCCACAGCAACAUGAUGUCCCCUGGUGUCUGGAGACUGUCCCAGGCCCCACCUGCCCCUCAGGAGAGGCCUCGGGCGCAGCCCGGCCUCCCGCCAGCUCAGACCAGGGGACAGAGAGCCUCGGCCACUCGUGCAGGGUGGACAUUUCUCUACUGGGUGGGCCGAGCCCUCGGGCCAGGGAGCCGGGCCUGGUGACGAGGAGGGCAGGUGGCCACAAGCUGCCCUUGGCCUGCCGCAGCCCCGGGUGAGUCUCAGGCCCUUCCCUGGACAUCCCGCCUGCGGUCAGCACUGCCCCGGCUGCUAAUCGAGUCCAGGUCGGUUCCCAUCAAGUCAGUGAGGACGCGGCCCCUGGGCUCCGGCCAUGCGCGGCUCCAACCCAGGUCGGCACAGGCCCAGGGCAGCCGGGGAGGACACGCGGAAACGGAGCCGUUCUGUUUGGAAGGACGGCGCCCAGGGGCCUCUGCUGGGUCCCUGUGGAGCUUCUGUUUCUUCCUCUGGUCCAGGGCGGCCACUGUGCCUGGCCAAGGGCGUGCCACCACCAAGCCAUACCCAGGGGACCAGGGGACAGAGGCCCGGAGCAGGCUGGGCAUCCAGGGAGCGGAGCCCGGGCUGGAGAGGCCUCCGGGGGCCUCAGGCCAGCUGGGUGACCUGGUGGAACACUGUGAGGAAGCCCGGCCAGAAGGCCACGCACCUCUUCCAACGUCCAGUCACCAGACGGAGAUUCCCAAGCACCGAGAAAGCAACGUGCCACCCGGCCCAGAGCCCCAGGGCUGCUGAGCGCAGGGCGAAGUGUCCAGGGUCCUGGGGGCCAGGAGCUGGCUAGCUCAAGGCCAGGCCAUGCUGAGGAGGAUCCCCACCGCAAAACUCAAGGCUAUGUCUCUCAGCCCCAUCUCGUAGGUGAGGAAAUGGAGGGCCAGAGAGGUCGCACCACCCACCCAAAGUCACACAGCUCAGGACCAGAAACUGGGCUCCACUCAGGUCUGCUGGGCCCAUGUCUGGCGGGGAUCAUCCCCCCCACCCAGUACAGUUGACGUGGUGCCUUCACUGGAACAAGAGGGCAGAGUCAGCCUCAGUAGAGUCCCAAGGUUGGGACGGGGCGGGAAUCACAGGCCCUCUGGGGUGGCAGCCUCUUCAGAAAGAGGCCAGGAGAGGCCCGGACUGGAGUCCUGGAGAGGCCUGACCUUCCUGGGCAGCCAGGGGCUCCGCGUCCUCAGCCAGCACAUCCCAGCCAAUCCCAGGGUGACGGCCACAGCCCCCCACCAGCAAGUGUCCUGGAGCCAUUUCUUGCUGGUCAGGAAGCAGCUGGUAAAUGAGGGUCACAGCUGUCCCUGUUUCCACCCAGGCAGGGCGGACCCCACGGUCAGUAGCGCCUCGGGGGCUACACACCAGGAGAGGAGGGGGCCAGGCAAGGGGACUGUGGAGUGGGUUGCUGGGACUGUCACAGGCCCCAGGGGGGCGGCCGCGCCUGCUGAGAUGGGAAGCCCCAGGCCUCCUCCCCCAUGGAGAUGUCAUCCAGCACCCAGAGGGGACGCAGGAGGGACCCGAGCACGAGUCCCACGGAGACAGCGAGCAGGUGACAUCCAGCCGGGACUCUUGACCCCAGAACCUUCCCAGGGCAGUCCUGCCCCAGGAAAUAAA
rnacentral:lncRNA from 1 species